GAUGAACGCUAGCGGCAGGCUUAACACAUGCAAGUCGAGGGGCAGCAUGAACCGACCGUUCGGGAAGGUUUGAUGGCGACCGGCGCAAGGGGUGCGUAACGCGUGAGCAACUUGCCCGUUUCUGGGGGAAUAACCGGUGGAAACGCCGACUAAUACCCCCAUGGCAUCAACUUUGGGCAUCCUUGAAUAACCAAAGCUUUAUGUGCUGAAAGAUGGUCUCGCGUCUGAUUAGCUAGAUGGCGGGGUAACGGCCCACCAUGGCGACGAUCAGUAGCCGGUCUGAGAGGAUGAACGGCCACAUUGGGACUGAGAUACGGCCCAGACUCCUACGGGAGGCAGCAGUGGGGAAUAUUGGGCAAUGGGGGAAACCCUGACCCAGCAACGCCGCGUGAAGGAAGAAGGCCUUCGGGUUGUAAACUUCUUUUACCAGGGACGAAGAACGUGACGGUACCUGGAGAAAAAGCAACGGCUAACUACGUG
rnacentral:rRNA from 1 species